GAAGCCCCCCUCAAGAUGAGAUUUCCCAUUUCUUCGGAAAGUAAGAUCCCUGAAAGAUGAUCAGGUAGAUAGGUUUGGAGUGGAAGUGUAGCGAUACAUGGAGCGGACAAAUACUAAUCGAUCGAGGACUUAACCAAAA
rnacentral:rRNA from 1 species